ACUCUCUUUCUUUCUUUUCUGCUUGAAGCGUCGAAGGGAAGCUGAAGGUUUUAGGCGGAAGGCAAGAAAUCAAAGAAGCGACUCGGUCUCUCUCUGCGCUCAAAUCACGCCGGAAACGAUGCUGUGGCUGCUGUGAAGAAUCAAAGGUGGGGGCUUGAUAACCUAUAAAACUAGAAGAGCUUGAUUCAUGGUUUGAUCCUAGGAAUAAAGGAGUAAACAAAGAAGCCCGAGAAUUGAACUUUUGCAUCGAAUGUGCAAUAGAAGACAUAUAUCAAAUUGCUCAAUCUUACUAAUCUAAGUGAGUUCAGAGCGGAUGCCCAUCCAGCAGUUUGGUUAGGGAAGAAGGAUGUCGUCACUAUAUGGGGCCAGGAUUUCAUGCAUUGGUGCCUUCCAAGCUUACCUGAUACAUGGGUGGAUAUUCUGUCAGCACAAAUCUUGUACAGUUUGGAAGCAGGAUGAUGAAAGUGGCACAACUCAUUUAUACACAAUGGUAAUUUAUUCUUCUAAUAUUUAGCUUGGUUUAUGUUCCUUAAGCAACCUUCAUUACCAUAGAAGUUUAUGCAGAUUGUCUGUUUAACUCCUCAUCUUUGUCUCAAUUGAGCAGAUUUUUCCUAUAUUGAAGCUUAGAGUUUGGCAAGAGUUAGAUUAUUAUAUUUUUAAGAUUGUUGAUUUAUUUUCAUGAAUUUGACUAAUUGAAAUAGUCCCUAUGAAAUAUAGAUUUUAGGAAGAGUACCAUGCUUGCUCUAUUCGGUUCUUGGCCAAAUUAAUACUAGGAGAAAUAACUGAAAUAUGCUUGGUUCCAUCAUUUUUGAAACUACACUCUACUAGAAUGGGAUUUGAACUAAACCGAGUUAGAACUGAUUAAUUCAGUUAGAUUCUCAUGUUAAAAUUUAGACAACCUGCUCAUUUACUUAGACAAAAUCAUUUACUAGCCAACACAGGUGCAUUUAUAUGCAAUGGCUCACGUGCAUUUAUAUGCAAUGGCUCACGUGCAUUUAUUUUCAUGGACCAGUGAAAGGUAUCGUCUUUUUUUCUACUUUUCCUACUUUUUUUUUUAAUUGUCUUCUUCUUGCUAUUUGGUAUUUAUAUAUUUGUAUUUGAUCAAUUAUAGAUUUGUUUGAUGUAGAGAGU